rnacentral:rRNA from 1 species
UACGUAGGGGGCAAGCGUUGUCCGGAUUUAUUGGGCGUAAAGAGCUCGUAGGUGGUUCGGUAAGUCGGAUGUGAAAUCUCCAGGCUCAACCUGGAGGGGUCAUUCGAUACUGCCGUGACUAGAGGUCGGUAGGGGAGUGUGGAAUUCCUGGUGGAGCGGUGAAAUGCGCAGAUAUCAGGAGGAACACCCGUAGCGAAGGCGGCACUCUGGGCCGAUACUGACACUGAGGAGCG